AACCAGUUUUGCUAUUUGCAAAUUUCUUUAAUAGAUACCAAACUUUGGUUGUAAUUAUCUAAACCAAUGUAACUGCAUGUCCCAAACCAGAUAAGCUAAUCAGUUCUUGAUAAUCAGUAAUCAAAAUUUUAGCUAUUAUUUAUUAAAAUAAACCAGUCAAACUACUUUAGCUGCAAGAACAAACUGUUUCAUAGCUGGUAACCGAACAUAUGUACUUAAAUUUAAUACAAUGUUGAUUAAAACAUUGUCAUGAAUUUAUUUAUAGAUAACACAAUCAAAGUCAUUAUUUGGACAUUCAUCAAUUUAUUUAUUUGUAGUAAACUUUUCUAGCAGCCAUUAAAUCAUCAUUUGAUUAAUAUUUGCCUAUGUCGAAUGUAUGAAGUUAAAAUAAAAAUGUAAGUAUUAUCACAAAACUGUUUAACAAUAUUUAAUUAAAAUAUUGUUAAAACUAGUUGGCACUGUUGGCAGCACUGCGUCCGAGUCAGUACAUUAAAGUUAUAUGCGAUUCACGUUAGAACUCGUUCUCUGCGUUCGGUCAUUAUUGUGUGGCUUGGCUGGUGAAGGCGGCAAAUCGAAUUGAUUUUCACAUUCCUAUUGUUUUCGGGAGAUUUGUAGCGACAUUAUGUAUAUAAAAAAAACUUAGUAAACGUGUUUUCGUAAUAAAUAGUGCAAUGGCAGACGGUCAAGACGAGACCUCCGCUGAUCCUAUGAGUGACUAUUUGCGCUUAUGGGGUCUUGAAAUGUACAUAAAUUUGUUCAAAGCAUAAUAUCCAUGAUGAUAGCAUCCCUGCAUCAUCGCAUCAUCAAAUGCUGUGUGUAUCAAUAACUUGCCAAUCCUUACUGAUAGCACCAUACAUUACCUACUAGUAUAUUGCUGAAUCAGGACUUGAAAACUUACAGAACUUGGACAAAUAUACAGAAUGAGGAAGUACCAAACUUAAAUACAAAUGGAGUAUACAACACUUUGAGUUCAUGUAAUGAAGGAAAAGGACUACUUCUUCGCUACAAAGAAAACGGAAUGAAUUCCUGAAAGUUAGCCUCUCCCGGUGUGCACUGAAUUAUAUAAAAUGAAGAAAACAGACUAUGAUUGUAAUGGUAAAUUUUAAACUCAAGUAAUGUGUUUGACAUUAAUUUGGGCUAAGCAAUGUCUUAUUAAUAUUUGGUUAACUAUUCUUUAUUUUUAUUAGCCCUAUUUAUGUUUUAUAAUAUAUUGGUGUUUGAUUACCAGUUAUUAUACAAUGGAGAUACUACAGCGUAUGUAACUUAAAUUUAAUAAUCUGGAUUUUCUUGAGUGAAUGACAAGACAUUAAAUUGUGUUAUUUUAUUUUUUUGAACAUUUUAAAUAAAUAAUUCAAAAAAAUUACUUAUAUAAUAUACAUUUUUUUAUUCAUUAUUGCACUUAGCCCGUUAUCCCUAUGUUAAGGUGGCUGUUAGACCUGUAUAUACAUCCACAAGGCAGGACACCAUUUGAUAAUAUUAUUGGGAUUUACUGGAUUGAUAUGAUUAAUCAUAUCAAUCCAGUACAUCCCAAUAAUAUUGAAGGUGGCCUGUAGAUCCAGGUCCAAUAGCAGAUCUAGGACCAGCUACUGG